UGGGGAAUUUUCCGCAAUGGGGGCAACCCUGACGGAGCAAUACCGCGUGAGGGAGGAAGGCCUUCGGGUUGUAAACUGCUUUUCGGCGGGACGAUGAUGACGGUACCGCCGGAAGAAGCCCCGGCUAACUCCGUGCCAGCAGCCGCGGUAAGACGGAGGGGGCAAGCGUUGUCCGGACUCACUGGGCGUAAAGGGCGCGCAGGCGGGACGGCGCGUCGGCGCUGAAAGCGCCCGGCUUAACCGGGCGCGGCGCGGCGAUACGACCGACCUGGAGGCAGGCAGAGGGUGGCGGAAUUCCGGGUGUAGUGGUGAAAUGCGUAGAGAUCCGGAGGAACGCCUGUGGCGCAAGCGGCCGCCUGGGCCUGACCUGACGCUGAGGCGCGAAAGCGUGGGGAGCGAACCGGAUUAGAUACCCGUGUAGUCC
rnacentral:rRNA from 1 species